rnacentral:rRNA from 1 species
UACGGGGGGAGCAAGCGUUGUUCGGAUUUACUGGGCGUAAAGGGCGCGUAGGCGGCCACCGCAAGUCAAUUGUGAAAUCUCCGGGCUUAACUCGGAAAGGUCAACUGAUACUGCUCGACUAGAGUGCGGAAGGGGCAACUGGAAUUCUUGGUGUAGCGGUGAAAUGCGUAGAUAUCAAGAGGAACACCUGCGGCGAAGGCGGGUUGCUGGGCCGACACUGACGCUGAAGUGCGAAAGCCAGGGGAGCGAACGGG